UACGUAGGGUGCAAGCGUUAAUCGGAAUUACUGGGCGUAAAGCGUGCGCAGGCGGCUAUGCAAGACAGAUGUGAAAUCCCCGGGCUCAACCUGGGAAUGGCAUUUGUGACUGGAAGGCUAGAGUGUGUCAGAGGGGGGUAGAAUUCCACGUGUAGCAGUGAAAUGCGUAGAGAUGUGGAGGAAUACCGAUGGCGAAGGCAGCCCCCUGGGAUAACACUGACGCUCAUGCACGAAAGCGUGGGGAGCAAACAGG
rnacentral:rRNA from 1 species